GAGCGGCUGAGUUUUCUGCUGAGAGUGUGUGGGGGUGUGGGGGGCCUGGCCAGGGUCCUUGGGGACACAGAGGCCGCGCCCCAGCUCCUACUGCCUGCAUUGGAGAACACCCGGAAGUCUUGGCUGCUGGCCACCAUUCUGUGAUGAAAUGGAGUUGGAAGAAUGCUCAGCUUGCUGUUACAGCUGUUGCUUCAGAGACAGGGUCCUUGCAAGUGUUUCAAAACUAACCCUUCUCUUGGGAGUUUCUUCCAAUUGACCGACUGGAGCAGCAGUUAAGGCUCAGGAAGAAGGGACUCAAGAUGACUCAGCAGAGGUGGGAAGAGAUGCAUCACCCCCCAGGGCUCAAGACAUUCUUCCUACAGAGCCUUCAAAACCACCAGGCAAAGUUUCAGGAGAAGUUGAGUGAGAUACUGC